UACGGAGGAUGCAAGCGUUAUCCGGAAUGAUUGGGCGUAAAGCGUCCGCAGGUGGCUAUGUAAGUCUGCUGUUAAAGAGUCUGGCUCAACCAGAUAAAGGCAGUGGAAACUACAUGGCUAGAGUGCGUUCGGGGCAGAGGGAAUUCCUGGUGUAGCGGUGAAAUGCGUAGAGAUCAGGAAGAACACCGGUGGCGAAAGCGCUCUGCUAGGCCGCAACUGACGCUGAGAAGCGAAAGCAUGGGGAGCGAACAGG
rnacentral:rRNA from 1 species